CCAGGGUGACCUUGAGUGGGAAGGGGGACAGAGGAGCAAUCUGAGACUCAGGAGACUGUCAUGCUACAAUAGUGAUGGACCUGAGACUCAUCCCCAGGUCACGGGCCCCGCCAGGCUCCAGAGCACCUUCCUGUGCCUGGUUUUUCACACAGGGCGCAUUGAGGGGCGGGUUGUUUUCCUCACUGUUGGUUGAGCUGCGGGUUGACUUUGCGCCAAGGGCAGCCUCAGUACAGUCAGCCGGUUAGUCCCGGAAGUCCAGCUUGCCUCAGUCCUCCCCGCAGGGACAAACUUCUGUGCCCAGGGCAGUGCAGAUCUGCUGAAUCUCUCCAGCUCCUUUGAAGGUUCACGAAAAACAUUUGAUUUCAGACCAAGGACGCCAGAGGAUGGAGUCCCCUCGGUGGUGGCUGCUGUUCCCGGCGCUCAUGGCCGUGGACCAUUGUCUGGCCCUGGUUGACCAAAAAGAUUCCGAUCCCAUCGAUACCAACCCCCGCGACGUCCCACCGAGGCCUGCCCUACCCUGCCACAAGCUGUCCGUGAGCAACAUAGACUUCGCCUUCAACCUCUACAGACAGCUGGCUUGGAACGCCCCCGGGGAGAACAUUCUCUUCUCCCCAGCGAGCGUCUCCUCAGCCUUGGCCACGCUCUUCCUCGGAGCCCCUGCAGCCAGCAGGGCCCAGCUCCUGGAGGGCCUGGGGCUCAACCUCUCCGUGGUGCCCGAGGCCGAGGUCCAGGAGGCCUUCCAGGACCUGCUGCUCCGGCUCCCCCUGCAGGGCCCCCGGCUCCUGCUGACGGUGGGCCAGCGCAGGUUCCAUAGCCUGGGCCCCGGGGCCGGGCAGGACCCAGGGGAAGGCCAGAAAUGCAUCCGCGAGUACGUAGAGAAGCAGACCCAGGGGAAGCUUGGGGCCUGGGUGGAGGAUCUCGGGAACGAGACUGCAGCCGUCCUCGUGAAUCAUGUGCUCCUCCGGGCCGGGUGGGAGACACCCUUUGACCUGGAGGCCACCAGCCCGAAGGAGUUCUUUGUGGAUGAGCUCAGGACUGUGCAGGUGCCCAUGAUGCGGCAGAAGGCCCGCCACCGCUUCCUCCAUGACCCCGAGCUGCAGUGCACGGUGCUGCAGAUGGACCACGCCGGGGCCGGGAACGUCACCACCUUCUUCGUCUUCCCCAGCCGGGGCGCGCUGGGGCAGCUGGAAGACGCCCUGCUGCCCGAGACACUGAUCAAGUGGGACAGUUUGCUCAGGACGAGGGAACUCAAUUUCCACUUCCCCAAGUUUUCCAUUUCCAGCACCUCCAGGCUGGAGCUGCUCCUCCCGCGAGGCGCGGUGGGAGGAGGCCUCCCAGGACAGCCCGGCCUGAACGUGUCCAGGGUCACUCACAAGGCCGUGAUGACUCUGGGUGAGGAGGGCUCAGAGGCGGCUGCUGCCACCAGCAUCCAGCUCACUCCCAGCCCCCACCCUGACUUCGACUCCACACCCCCUCCAGACACUGAGUUCCGUCGGCCCUUCCUGGUGAUGACCUUUCACACAGAAACAGGAAGCAUGCUUUUCCUGGGGAAGAUUGUAAACCCAUUGGGGUGAUGUGUGGAGUGAGCCCGAGAGCAGAGCGGGGUACAGGGUCAGCGUCCAAGCCUCUGUGUGCCCCUGGGGGCGUCACCAGGCUAUUUCGGGUUCCCUCGUCAUCUGGAAGCGAAAUGGGACGUAUUUCAAAGGGGUGACGAUGGUAGGUACCCCUGAACCUGCUUCCUGUGGCCACAGAAGAAUCCCCUGUCCACACGCCUGGGGCCUGUGUUGCAGAAGCUUGUUCAGUGAGACAGUGCAUGUGCCCUGGUUCUGUUGUGUGGCUUUCACAGGCGCCUGUGGGGUGAGGGUAGUAAGGGGGAUCGAGGCUGGGCCAUUGAGUAAACACCUACUACGCGCCAGGUGCCUUGUACAUUUCAUCUCAUGUUAAAAUUAAUUUCCACAACAACCUCACAAGAUAAGUAUUGGGUUGGACCCUAUGAAAUUGCUUAUGGUUUCACCUGCUAUGAGUUCUCCCUUGUUAUAGCUGAGGCUCAGAACUUAAGACACACGCUCAAGGUCACUCAGCCGGCAGCAGCAUAGCUGGGACUCAGGUGCGGUUUAAGUCAAAGCCUGGACUCUUUCCAUUUUCACCCAUUUUGCUAAAUUGACUCUCUCUAGAUGCCACCGGGAGCAGCGAUGGGGCCUGCAAGCAGACACAAAGAGCCAGCUGAAUGCCGCUCAAGGGCCGCGACAUGUGAUCUUAUUGGAGCUUCAUUUCACGUUUACUGCCAGAAAUAAAACUUACUGAUUUUUUUCCUCUUCUCAAGUGAGAAGGUGCCCAGCGAAGCACCAACGAGUCAGUAAAGUUGGCCUCCCCAGAAAGGGGAGCCCCAGAGUCACGGAGAGUAUCCUCUAAAAAAGACAGUGAGCUCCAAGACACUAGAACAUGGGUGUCUUCUUAGAUUUUGUUUUUUGAGGGUUGACCACGGGGCGUCCCAAACUCAAAUGCCUAUGGCACCAGGUGGGCAGUAGGCAGGGGUGAGGGAAAAGAUCACAGCGCAAAUUUAGUAGGAGACGUCAGCUGAAGUGGGUGCUGGGGAAACAUGAGGGGUGGCGGG